rnacentral:rRNA from 1 species
CAGUAGCCGCGGGAAAACAGAGGGUGCGAGCGUUAAUCGGAUUUACUGGGCGUAAAGCGUGCGUAGGCGGCUUCUUAAGUCGGAUGUGAAAUCCCUGAGCUUAACUUAGGAAUUGCAUUCGAUACUGGGAAGCUAGAGUAUGGGAGAGGAUGGUAGAAUUCCAGGUGUAGCGGUGAAAUGCGUAGAGAUCUGGAGGAAUACCGAUGGCGAAGGCAGCCAUCUGGCCUAACACUGACGCUGAGGUACGAAAGCAUGGGGAGCAAACAGGAUUAGAUACCCCAGUAGUCCCUGUCUCUUAUAC